rnacentral:miRNA from 1 species
CCGACUUUUCGAAUUCUGCCCGACUGGUAUCAAAAAAAUUUUUCCGGAAAAAUUUUUUUGAUACCAGUCGGGCAGAAUUCGAAAAGUCGG